rnacentral:rRNA from 1 species
GAAACUGCGAAUGGCUCAUUAAAUCAGUUAUCGUUUAUUUGAUAGUACCCUACUACAUGGAUACCUGUGGUAAUUCUAGAGCUAAUACAUGCGCAAAACCCCGACUUCGGAAGGGGUGUAUUUAUUAGAUAAAAAACCAAUGCCCUUCGGGGCUCCUUGGUGAUUCAUAAUAACUUAACGAAUCGCAUGGCCUUGCGCCGGCGAUGGUUCAUUCAAAUUUCUGCCCUAUCAACUUUCGAUGGUAGGAUAGUGGCCUACCAUGGUGGCAACGGGUAACGAGGAAUUAGGGUUCGAUUCCGGAGAGGGAGCCUGAGAAACGGCUACCACAUCCAAGGAAGGCAGCAGGCGCGCAAAUUACCCAAUCCCGAUCCGGGGAGGUAGUGACAAUAAAUACUGAUAUAGGGCUCUUUUGGGUCUUAUAAUUGGAAUGAGUACAAUCUAAAUCCCUUAACGAGGAACAAUUGGAGGGCAAGUCUGGUGCCAGCAGCCGCGGUAAUUCCAGCUCCAAUAGCGUAUAUUAAAGUUGUUGCAGUUAAAAAGCUCGUAGUUGAACCUUGGGCCCGUCCUGCCGGUCCGCCUCAC